rnacentral:misc_RNA from 1 species
GACGGAUCAACCAGGUAGCAUUCCUUUUUUCCACCGGCACCGCAUGAGCCAUUCGGACCAAAAGACUCCUCGGACAAACACAGCGCGGCAGACUUCCAUAAGAAAAGUUUAGUUCGGGCAGAGAGAGGGACAAGGACCACACCCGGUUAUUUUCCGUAUACAAGAUUUCAAGCGCCACAAGAGAAUCCAUGCCUCGCAAGCUCAAAAGACAAAGCAAGGAUAGAUGUCAAAGUGAGCUUCAAGGUACAACUCGCACAAAACUUGAUGCACGAGAAAAAAAGGGACAGCCAGACAAUCAAAUUCCUUCAAAAUAGGUAAGCUGCACAGGGGGCCAAUUAAAAAGCUCUGGGACACUAUUGAAGAGAAAUGACCAAGCGGCUGUCGCUGCCUUGGCAGGGAUCCAACCAACCGGAUCAUACC